GGUGUAGCGCAGUCCGGUUAGCGCACCUGGUUUGGGACCAGGGGGUCGAAGGUUCGAAUCCUUUCACC
rnacentral:tRNA from 3 species